AUUUUGGACAUUCUCCAUCUUUGACCUUUUCAUUUAGUAACCACACAAUAUCUCCAACUGUAUAUUCAUGAACUAGCACUUUUGAAUUGUAGAUAUCUCUUGUUGUUUUGUAGAUUGGUGAAGAUGUUUCAUGGCAAUUUCAUGGGCAUGGUAAACUUUGGAUCUUAUUUCUUCAACGAAAUCUCCAUAAGAUGAAAUUUUUUCUCCAUUGGAAGCUAAAGAGUGAUGUGUUGCCUUGUAUGGCAUUUGGAUUUCUCGACCAAACAUCAGUAAGUUUGGGUUAAUGGACCAAUAAAGUCAGUGGCAAGACAUUCCCAAGGAGCACCAUAUGACAUCAUUCGAAGAAGAGCUUUAGGUUUUUGUAUCGGAGAACUGGAGAUAUAUCAGAAUCUUUAAGUUGAGCAGUUUGCAGUGCUGCAGAAGAGUACUGACUGUGCCAGACAGUACAGUCGGAUAAUGCAGAUUCCUGAUGCUUUUGUCUUGUAGUGACCUUCCUUGCAGCAACCUCUGAUUGUUCAGUAGACAAAUGUAUGGAAACUAAAUUUUCUGCUCUCAGUCGGCACUUCUUACAAGGUCCACAUUUGAGUUUGUCCAUAUUAUCUGCUGAUGCACAAGUGCAGUCUCUUGGAUUGGGACAUCUGGUUAAACUAUCUGCAUUUCCAUGUUUUGUUCCUUGUCUAUAUUCAACUUCAAAAUUAUAUGCAGAAAGGAUUUCUAUCUAUCGAGCAACUCGGCCCUUUGGUUCUUUUAGUUUGAAAAGCCACACCAAAGCCUGGUGAUCAGACCUGACUAAAAAUGAAUGACCAAGUAAAUAUUUUCGAAAGUAUUCUACAAAAUACUUUACAACUAAAAGUUCUUUAUCAGUUACGCAGUAAUUUCUCUCUGCUUUGUUAAG